rnacentral:misc_RNA from 1 species
AACAAGGCGUACCUGCGGACCUGCGGAGGGAUCAUUACAGGACUCGCAAGACUCCUUAAACCCCUGUGAACUUACUGUUUAUACGUUGCUUCGGCGGGUGCUCCGGGGUCCGCCCCGGGGCGCUGCGCCCGCCGGCAGCCUACUUAAUUCUGUUUCUCUGCGUUGGCAUCUCGAGUAAGCAAAAUAAGUUAAAACUUUCAACAACGGAUCU